UGUCCUAAAGUACUAGGGAAAAAAGGAGGGCCUGGGACAAAUUCUGAACGUAAACAGAAAGUUAUAGAAGGUUUGUUGAAGAGAAACCUUGAGGAGUUUUAUACUUGGUCAAGUUGGCUAAGAU